GUCUACGGCCAUACCACCCUGAACGCACCUGAUCUCAUCUGAUCUCGGAAGCUAAGCGGGGUUGGGCCUAGUUAGCACGUGGAUGGGAGGCAUUAGACUUUGGAGUCA
rnacentral:rRNA from 1 species